rnacentral:misc_RNA from 1 species
UUCGUGGGUUUGUAAUAUAUUCAAUCAAUAUCUUUACCCUUUCAAAAAAAUCUGAUCCCCUAUCAACCCUAGUGUCACUAACAUGAAAAAACUGAAGAAAACCAUAUAAAUAGCGCAACUCUUAAGGUACAGUGGCUUCAAUUGAUAAACACACCGAUAUACGGUGUACCCUGAUGCAAAAUUUAGGGUAAAGAUGUAUAUUUCUUUUAAGUGUACAUAGGAUGCUGCAUGAAUGUUGAGUCAGAAAUGGAAUUCGCUUGGCACCUCAUGCAGAAGAAAUAUGUUGCUACUCUUCCUGCACGCUGCACCAACUUCUCAACAGAACUGGCCUGUAGAAAUG